UACGGAGGGUGCAAGCGUUAUCCGGAUUUACUGGGUUUAAAGGGUGUGUAGGCGGGCUUUUAAGUCCGUGGUGAAAUCUCCGGGCUCAACCUGGAAACUGCCAUUGAUACUAUUAGUCUUGAAUUUUGUUGAGGUAGGCGGAAUAAGUCAUGUAGCGGUGAAAUGCAUAGAUAUGACUUAGAACACCAAUUGCGAAGGCAGCUUGCUAAACAAAUAUUGACGCUGAGGCACGAAAGCGUGGGGAUCAAACAGG
rnacentral:rRNA from 1 species